UCCCUGGCUUGUACCACUUCUCAUCAACUUCUCUACAGCCCUGGUUUACACCCUGGCCAAACAGAAGAUUGUCUGAUCUUCCACUGUGACAAUUCUCAGAACCAGGUAACCUCUGGUGAGGGUUUUCAUUACACGUGAACUUCAAGGUGCAGUUGAUAAAAUAAACCCAUUUCGUUGCCAAGCCCUACAGUCUCAAGACCCAGACCCAUACAUGCUUUCCGGUCUCUUGCCGCUACACAGCCAGACUGCCAUUACUUUUCCAGUACAGCUUCCUGGAGUAUAGCUUUGGUUUCCCCUUUGAGGCUGUGCUGAAGCCUGACUUUGGUGAUGGCCUGUAGGCAAUGUGGGGUGAUGAGAGUGCGUCUUGAGGGAAGUGAAUGUCUUCUUGUAAGACACCUGCGUCUUGUGAAAUCAUCGCAUAGCCUCCAGGAAGAUUAGGCCUGAGCUAACUGCUGCCAAUCCUCCUCUUUUUGCUGAGGAAGACUGGC